AGAAAGAAGAAUUUUGGGAGUGGUAGCUUUGUGUCGAAUUUGAGGGAUCACAUUCAUGAAUUUAUUCAUGCCUCGAUGGAUGAACACAGAACUUGCAUGAAAGAGACAGUGCGGAAGAUGUUUGAAAGGGCAAAACUUUACAGAGAAAAGAGUGGCGGUGGCCCAAAGGAAGGAGAAACACCACUGCCUUUGCAAACAACUACAGAUUAGGAACAUUUUGUGAGCUUUUCUGUUUUCUGGGUUGCAGAGAAAAUAGUCGUGUAAGACAUUUUUGAGAUUCUUAUCUAGCAUUUAUAUAGGUUAUGUGAUUGGCAUGAAUGACUAGAAAUGUAUAGAAAGCAAAUGUUAGAGUUCUUAUCAAUCAAUUGCUAUUGCUCA